rnacentral:hammerhead_ribozyme from 1 species
AUCCAAAUGACGAGUCUCAAACAGGACGAAAUGCGCAUCCUGGAU